UGGGCCUGGUGACUGAAGACCAAUGUUGGCCUGAGACCUCGGCCUCCCCCAAAGCCAUCGUUGCCACAGAGCCUAGGGUGACCAUCUCGAUAAUGAAUUUCCACGGAGACAGAUUUCGGGUGACAGGUACCACCCAGUAAUCAGCUGCAGACUACAGACUGAUCCAGAUGGCUUUGAGCCCUGGACUUGCUGAAAGCUGACGUGGACCAAGCCAGCUGAUGUGGAUUGCUCCCUGUCUCUCCAGCUGGGUCAGCUCACCAGAUGCUCCUAAUGAAUGCUCCAUUCCCUGAAUCUGAGGACGACAUCUUAAUUUCAGCAUGAAGUAGUUAAAGAGAGUAGAGUAUGCCACCCUGUGUCCUCCUCAACAGGCUGUGAUGUUAGGUCAAAAGGACCUGGCACAGGAGACAAAAUGGCUACCUAUCUCGCCCACUGGCAUACCAGGAAAGGUACUUGUUGAAAACAAAUAGACUCAGAUCUAUCAACAGGCUCCUCCUGGAUAGUAACUGAUGUCAGCCAAUGCAGGGCCUUUGACCUUUCUGUUUCUACUAAUUACUGUUGGCCCUUGCAUCAUUAAUGCCUUAACUUGAUGAUAUUCUCAUCUGGGUACCAUUAAGCUGAUGGUUAUUAGAGCCCAAUGUAAACAGGUACCUGCCACAGAGUCGAGGAUUUGACUCAGGAUACAACCCGAGGGGGAUUGACUCAGCACCAUUUUCUGGGAACCUCAGAAUAUUCCUGACCAGAGUCCACCACCUUGGCCAGUAUUUAAUUAAAGCUUGCUUCAAGUUUGGCUCAAGAUAUUGUGGUAGUGGUCUUAUUCUCAGCCAGUGGGAUUAUUAAUACAAGGUCACAGGGUGGAGCUGUUGCUACCCCGCCUGGACUUCAGGAUGAUAAAGAAGACACCUAUUUAAGCAGCUGCUAAUCCUUAAGUGCUAUAACCUGCAGUUCCCAGGGGGAAAAAAAGGCCACACAGCUGUGUUGAAGAUUCUAAACCAGCUAUGGGGUUUGAACUUUAGAACUUGGGAGAGCUGGAAAGCUGUUGAUCCAGAAUCCAGAUUAUCUUGGGCUAUCUUAAUAACCCCCACUAGUCACUGAACACCCAUGUUCUACAUCUGAACUAUUAACUCACAACCAACUUAAGGGCUAACACUGUCAUCACACAGUAUCUAAAACCUGCAGCAGAGAUGUCCCCACUCUGCUGUACCCUACCUACUAUGUGAUGGGUAAAUUACUUUAAUAAUUCAUGAGCUUCUUUUGUGUCUAUAAAAACUUCACAUAAUUGUU
ensembl:antisense 4933431G14Rik RIKEN cDNA 4933431G14 gene